rnacentral:rRNA from 1 species
UACGAAGGGUGCGAGCGUUAUUCGGAGUUACUGGGCGUAAAGAGCAUGUAGGCGGUUUGUUAAGUUAGUUGUUAAAUUCCAUGGCUUAACUGUGGAUCUGCAACUGAUACUGAUGAGCUAGAGUAUAGAAGAGAGAAGUGGAAUUCCCGGAGUAGCGGUAAAAUGCGUAGAUCUCGGGAGGAACACCGGUUGCGAAGGCGGCUUCUUGGUCUAUUACUGACGCUAAAGUGCGAAAGCGUGGGGAG